rnacentral:lncRNA from 1 species
AAACUCCUGAGUCCCUGAUAUGCUUUGAAUGUCCAGUUUUAAAUACCAGUAAAGCUCCCCCUCCCUUUAUUGUUCACCCACCAUUCUGAGAAGCUGCCUGUCUGCUUUCUAGAUUUCAUGCCAUGAAGCAGCCAGGAAAGUGACCAUCUCUGUUCCAUCAUCUUGAAAAUCCCCCCUAAAUAACCUUUCUACUUCCUGGUUACCAUGUCUUAAGCUGCUUUCCUUUGCCAUACCUUUCUGCCAUGAUGUUCUUCCUCACUGUGGGCCCAGAGCUAUGGAGUCAACCCAUAUUGAACUGAACCUCUGAAACUGAGCUGGAAUAAACAUUUCUGCCUCUAUGUUGUUUUUGUCACAUGACAAAAAAGCUGCCUAAAACAGAAAUUGUUACUGAGAAGUGAGGUUGUUGCUGUG